rnacentral:misc_RNA from 1 species
AGACGCAAGCAAUUGUCCUGAUACAAGUUCAGGAUGAGAUGCCUUGGAACAGUUCUGCUUCACUUCUAGAGGAGAUUCACAACUCUCUGUUUGAUGAAUAUCAUCACCUCCACGUGCAUGAUUAGUGUGAUGCUGUUUCACCAUUUCCUCAGAUUUAGGUUCUUCAGACUGCUGCUUUUGUUCUGCAAAAUUUGCUCCGUCGUUUAGGUAGGAUGGAAUCCUAUUGCCACUUGAACUUUUUCUCCAAGGCUUUGACAUUCCUCCACAAGCUGAUUCUGGUGAGGUAUUAUUUCCCUUUUCAUCCUUCGUGGACAAGUCAUUUUCAGCAGUUUCAACCUCUGCUUCAUCGGCAAUUAUUUCUGGAAUGUCAUGCAACAAGCGUGACUGUUCUGUUGGUGUCCGAAGUAGCAGCAGUCUGUCCAUGUACUCAGAAAGCUCUCUUCUCCAUCCCUU